GAACAGCCUCCUUCAAACUACAGCGAGAUUGCGAUGCAUGGGCCAACCCUGGAAGAACCCUGCCAGCUCUCAGAAGCGUUAAGAUUAAUCUUACUGCCCUUGAUAGAUAUAGUGCAGCACCUUGAAAAUGAAUCAUCUGCUAGGUCGGUAUUUUCUAAUUACAAGCAUUCCCUCUCGGGGCAUGUAAUUAAUUUACUGAGUUUGGAGGAAAAAAAAAUC
rfam:Echinops telfairi cont1.345144, whole genome shotgun sequence.